UACGGAGGGUGCAAGCGUUAUCCGGAUUCACUGGGUUUAAAGGGUGCGUAGGUGGGCAGGUAAGUCAGUGGUGAAAUCUCUGGGCUUAACCCGGAAACUGCCGUUGAUACUAUCUGUCUUGAAUAUAGUGGAGGUGAGCGGAAUAUGUCAUGUAGCGGUGAAAUGCUUAGAUAUGACAUAGAACAUCGAUUGCGAAGGCAGCUCGCUACACUAUGAUUGACACCGAGGCACGAAAGCGUGGGGAUCAAACAGG
rnacentral:rRNA from 1 species